UGAAGAGGACAUGCAUCACCUGUGCAUUUUGAGGGGAGUGGAGAAGCAGCUGUGGUGUAGCAGAGUCAUUCAGGAAAAAAUCCUGGACCCAUGGGGGCUCGUCCAGGUGGUCUUCAACAACAAGGAGGUGACUGGUAUUAAGGUGCAGUCUAGCACUUUUUCACUGAAAAAGUGGCAAAGGUCCAUUUACCUAUUUGCAUAAAUACAUGUUGACAGAAAAUGAAAUGAUACAUUCUAAUCUCUUGCCUCAUUUUUAUUUCCUUGGUAGAAGGAUCUAUGGCCUUGUCAAGAGGAGGUCAGAGUUCACCUAUUAUGAGGACGCCCAGGUUUAUUUCAGAGUUUGGUUGGGGGGUUCUCAAUAUGGUGGUUUUCAGUGUUGGGCUUGCAGUGUCACAUGUUGUGUGUUAAACAGCAGGUGGAUAUCUCCACCACGGUGGAGCGGUUCCAGGAGAGGGCUGAUGAGAUGACGGCAUAUCAACUCUCCACCUCUGACAUCAUCACCACCCCUCAUGAGCCUUCCUUCCCCAAUGAUUCUCCACCACCCCCUCCUCCUUCCCUUUUCCCUUCUUAUUCCCCCUCCCAGUCCCCCUCCACCUUACCACUCCACCCAGGACCAGGCCCCUGACAGCACUCCUCAGGGGUUACUUUGCAAACCAAGGGACAACCAACUUCUCUCUGAGGAUAGUCGGUAUCCGACGUGGAGGAUGUGAGGCAGUUUCAGCAGGCGUACGACCUCCUGGGGAACUUCAAUAAUGAGCCAGCAAACAGGGAGCGACCUGAGCAGGAGAUGGUUCUUAUAGGAAGGCCUGGUAGCUUCCUUUAUCUGCUCCUGGAAGUCACAAUGAGGAUUCGCCCUCCUGGAGCAGCCUGGACCGAGGCUCCUGGGAUCUUCUACCUCCUCGUUAAGGUA